rnacentral:rRNA from 1 species
AGCGGAAAGGCCACUUCGGUGGUACUCGAGCGGCGAACGGGUGAGUAACACGUGAGUAAUCUGCCCCUGGCUUCGGGAUAGCCACCGGAAACGGUGAUUAAUACCGGAUAUGACAGACCCUCGCAUGGGGGUGUGUGGAAAGUUUUUCGGCCAGGGAUGUGCUCGCGGCCUAUCAGCUUGAUGGUGAGGUAAUGGCUCACCAUGGCUUCGACGGGUAGCCGGCCUGAGAGGGUGACCGGCCACACUGGGACUGAGACACGGCCCAGACUCCUACGGGAGGCAGCAGUGGGGAAUAUUGGACAAUGGGCGGAAGCCUGAUCCAGCAACGCCGCGUGAGGGAUGACGGCCUUCGGGUUGUAAACCUCUUUCAGUACCGACGAAGCGCAAGUGACGGUAGGUACAAAAAAACCACCCGGCCAACUACGUGCCAGCACCCGCGGUAAUACGUAGGGUGCGAGCGUUGUUCGGAAUUAUUGGGGGUAAAGGGCUCGUAGGCGGUUUGUCGCGUCGGGAGUGAAAACGCCGUGCUUAACACGGCGCUUGCUUCCGAUACGGGCAGACUAGAGGUAUUCAGGGGAGAACGGAAUUCCUGGUGUAGCGGUGAAAUGCGCAGAUAUCAGGAGGAACACCGGUGGCGAAGGCGGUUCUCUGGGAAUGACCUGACGCUGAGGAGCGAAAGUGUGGGGAGCGAACAGGAUUAGAUACCCUGGUAGUCCACACCGUAAACGUUGGGCGCUAGGUGUGGGGUCCAUUCCACGGAUUCCGUGCCGCAGUAACGCA